CCCUGCAGCCCUAUCACCCUGCAGCCCAAGACUGGUUGCCCACUGAAGCCAAGCAGGGUUGAGCCUGGUCAGUACCUGGAUGGGAGACCUCCUGGGAAAACUAGGUUGCUGCUGGAA
ensembl:rRNA 5S_rRNA 5S ribosomal RNA